UACAGAGGUCCCGAGCGUUGUUCGGAUUUACUGGGCGUAAAGGGUGCGUAGGUGGUUGGGUAAGUUUGAGGUGAAAGCUCCGAGCCUAACUCGGAAAUUGCCUUGAAGACUAUCUGACUAGAGGAUUGGAGGGGAGACUGGAAUUCUCGGUGGAGCAGUGAAAUGCGUAGAUAUCGAGAGGAACACCAGUGGCGAAGGCGAGUCUCUGGACAAUUCCUGACACUGAGGCACGAAAGCCAAGGGAGCAACCGGGAUUAGAUACCCCGGUAGUCUUGGCUGUAAACGGUGCGCACUUGCUGUGGGCGGAUUCGACCCCGCUAGUGGCGAAGUUAACACGAGAAGUGCGCCACCUGGGAAGUACGGUCGCAAGAUUA
rnacentral:rRNA from 1 species